UUUGUUUGGAGAGUUUGAUCCUGGCUCAGGACGAACGCUGGCGGCGUGCUUAACACAUGCAAGUCGAACGGGCUUUCCUGCUGGUUUUUGCUGGUGGGUUGGUUAGUGGCGAACGGGUGAGUAACACGUGAGUAACCUGCCCUCUUCUCCUGGAUAACUGCUUGAAAGGGCGGCUAAUACGGGGUGGUCUGGCCUGCCUGCAUGGGUGGGUUGGUAUAGGUUCAGCAUUUUGUUGUUCCGGUGGGGGAUGGGCUCGCGGCUUAUCAGCUUGUUGGUGGGGUGAUGGCUUACCAAGGCUUUGACGGGUAGCCGGCCUGAGAGGGUGGACGGUCACACUGGGACUGAGAUACGGCCCAGACUCCUGCGGGAGGCAGCAGUGGGGAAUAUUGCACAAUGGGCGGAAGCCUGAUGCAGCGACGUCGCGUGAGGGAUGGAGGCCUUCGGGUUGUGAACCUCUUUUUCCGGUGGUGAAGGCCUGCUUCUUUGUGGGUGGGUUGACGGUAGCCGGGUUAGGAAGCGCCGGCUAACUACGUGCCAGCAGCCGCGGUAAUACGUAGGGCGCGAGCGUUGUCCGGAAUUACUGGGCGUAAAGGGCUUGUAGGCGGCUGGUCGCGUCUGCCGUGAAAUCCUCUGGCUUAACUGGGGGCUUGCGGUGGGUACGGGCUGGCUUGAGCGCGGUAGGGGAGACUGGAACUCCUGGUGUAGCGGUGGAAUGCGCAGAUAUCAGGAGGAACACCGGUGGCGAAGGCGGGUCUCUGGGCUGUUGCUGACGCUGAGGAGCGAAAGCGUGGGGAGCGAACAGGAUUAGAUACCCUGGUAGUCCACGCUGUAAACGUUGGGCACUGGGUGUGGGGGCCCUUUUCCGGGGUUUCCGCGCCGUAGCUAACGCGUUAAGUGCCCCGCCUGGGGAGUACGGCCGCAAGGCUAAAACUCAAAGGAAUUGACGGGGGCCCGCACAAGCGGCGGAGCAUGCGGAUUAAUUCGAUGCAACGCGAAGAACCUUACCAAGGCUUGACAUGGGUCGGUUGCUGCCGGAGACGGUGGUUCCCUUGCUGCGUUUUGUGGUUUGGGCCGGCCUGCAGGUGGUGCAUGGUUGUCGUCAGCUCGUGUCGUGAGAUGUUGGGUUAAGUCCCGCAACGAGCGCAACCCCUGUCCCGUGUUGCCAGCGCUUUUGGGCGGGGACUCGCGGGAGACUGCCGGGGUGAACUCGGAGGAGGGUGGGGAUGACGUCAAAUCAUCAUGCCCCUUAUGUCUUGGGCUUCACGCAUGCUACAAUGGCCGGUACAGUGGGUUGCGAUGCCGUGAGGCGGGGCGAAUCCCUUAAAGCCGGUCUCAGUUCGGAUCGGUGCCUGCAACUCGGCACCGUGAAGUUGGAGUCGCUAGUAAUCGCGGAUCAGCAACGCCGCGGUGAAUACGUUCUCGGGCCUUGUACACACCGCCCGUCACGUCAUGAAAGCCGGUGACGCCCGAAGCCCGUGGCCCUAUGGGGAGCGGUCGAAGGCGGGGCUGGUGAUUGGGACGAAGUCGUAACAAGGUAGCCGUACCGGAAGGUGCGGCUGGAUCACCUCCUUUCU
rnacentral:rRNA from 1 species